rnacentral:rRNA from 1 species
CCAGCCGCCGCGGUAACACCGGCAGCUCAAGUGGUAGCCGCUUUUAUUGGGCCUAAAGCGUCCGUAGCCGGUUUGAUAAGUCUCUGGUGAAAUCCCACAGCUUAACUGUGGGAAUUGCGGGAGAUACUAUCAUGACUCGAGGUCGGGAGAGGCGGGAGGUACUCCCAGGGUAGGGGUGAAAUCCUGUAAUCCUGGGAGGACCACCUGUGGCGAAGGCGUCCAGCUGGAACGAACCUGACGGUGAGGGACGAAAGCCAGGGGCGCGAACCGGAUUAGAUACCCGGGUAGUCCUGGCCGUAAACGAUGUGGACUUGGUGUUGGGAUGGCUUCGAGCUGCCCCAGUGCCGAAGGGAAGCUGUUAAGUCCACCGCCAGGGAAGUACGGCCGC